AGCAGCCGCCGCGGUAAUGCGUAGGUGGCAAGCGUUGUCCGGAAUUAUUGAGCGUAAAGGGUGCGCAGGUGGUUUAACAAGUUAGUGGUGAAAGGCAUAGGCUCAACCAAUGUAAGCCAUUAAAACUGUUUAACUUGAGUGCAGGAGAGGAAAGUGGAAUUCCUAGUGUAGCGGUGAAAUGCGUAGAUAUAUGGAGGAACACCAGUGGCGAAGGCGACUCUCUGGUCUGUAACUGACGCUGAGGCGCGAAAGCGUGGGGAGCAAACAGGAUUAGAUACCCCUGUAGUCCCUGUCUCUUAUACC
rnacentral:rRNA from 1 species